rnacentral:rRNA from 1 species
UGCAGUCGAACGGCAGCGCGGGGCAACCUGGCGGCGAGUGGCGAACGGGUGAGUAAUAUAUCGGAACGUACCCUGGAGUGGGGGAUAACGUAGCGAAAGUUACGCUAAUACCGCAUACGAUCUAAGGAUGAAAGUGGGGGAUUCGCAAGAACCUCAUGCUCCUGGAGCGGCCGAUAUCUGAUUAGCUAGUUGGUAGGGUAAAAGCCUACCAAGGCUUCGAUCAGUAGCUGGUCUGAGAGGACGACCAGCCACACUGGAACUGAGACACGGUCCAGACUCCUACGGGAGGCAGCAGUGGGGAAUUUUGGACAAUGGGCGCAAGCCUGAUCCAGCAAUGCCGCGUGAGUGAAGAAGGCCUUCGGGUUGUAAAGCUCUUUUGUCAGGGAAGAAACGGUGAGAGCUAAUAUCUCUUGCUAAUGACGGUACCUGAAGAAUAAGCACCGGCUAACUACGUGCC